rnacentral:rRNA from 1 species
CCUACGGGGGGCAGCAGUGAGGAAUAUUGGUCAAUGGGCGAGAGUCUGAACCAGCCAAGUCGCGUGAAGGAUGACGGCCCUAUGGGUUGUAAACUUCUUUUAUAUGGGAAUAAAGUGUGGCACGUGUGCGGUUUUGUAUGUACCAUAUGAAUAAGCAUCGGCUAACUCCGUGCCAGCAGCCGCGGUAAUACGGAGGAUGCGAGCGUUAUCCGGAUUUAUUGGGUUUAAAGGGUGCGUAGGUGGGUGGUUAAGUCAGGUGUGAAAGUUUGCGGCCCAACCGUAAAAUUGCCGUUGAAACUGGCAGUCUUGAGUACAGUAGAGGUAGGCGGAAUUCGUGGUGUAGCGGUGAAAUGCAUAGAUAUCACGAAGAACUCCGAUUGCGAAGGCAGCUUACUGGACUGUAACUGACACUGAGGCACGAAAGUGUGGGUAUCAAACAGGAUUAGAUACCCUAGUAGUC